AGGCUACGCUCCAAGAUAGAACUAAUAUUGGUGCAGCAGGCAGAAGGAAGGAACAAACUUCCUCCCAAAUCUCACAGGCAGAAGGAAGGAACAUCAUCCCAAAUCUCACAGGCAGAAGGAAUGAACAUCAUCCCAAAUCUCACAGGCAGAAGGAAGGAACAUCAUCCCAAAUCUCACAGGCAGAAGGAAGGAACAUCAUCCCAAAUCUCACAGGCAGAAGGAAGGAACAUCAUCCCAAAUCUCACAGGCAGAAGGAAGGAACAUCAUCCCAAAUCUCACAGGCAGAAGGAAUGAACUUCAUCCCAAAUCUCACAGGCAGAAGGAAUGAAUGAACAUCAUCCCAAAUCUCACAGGCAGAAGGAAGGAAGGAACAUCAUCCCAAAUCUCACAGGCAGAAGGAAGGAAUGAACAUCAUCCCAAAUCUCACAGGCAGAAGGAAGGAAGGAACAUCAUCCCAAAUCUCACAGGCAGGCAGAAGGAAGGAAGGAACAUCAUCCCAAAUCUCACAGGCAGAAGGAAGGAAGGAACAUCAUCCCAAAUCUCACAGGCAGAAGGAAGGAACAAACUUCCUCCCAAAUCUCAGCUCUUGCCAAAAAAGAGUGGAAACCUGGACUGGAUGUCAGAUUGGUUGAUAAGGUUAGAAAGGAGAAAGGUUUUCAUCAAGGAUCUCUCUGUAUUUUGCUUCGUUCAUCUUUCCCUCGAUCCUGACUAGUCUCCCAGUCCCUGCCAUUGAAAAACAUCCCCACAGCAUGAUGCUGCCACCACCAGGCUUCACCAUAGGGAUGGUGCCAGGUUUCCUCCAGACGAGUUCAAUCUUGGUUUCAUCAGACCAGAGAAUCUUCUUUCUCAUGGUCUGAGAAUCCUUUUGGUGCCUUUUGGCAAACUCCAAGCGGGCUGUCAUGUGCCUUUUACAGAUGAGUGGCUUCCAUCUGACCACUCUACCAUAAAGGCCUGAUUGGUGCAGUGCUGCAGAGAUGGUUGUCCUUCUGGAAGUUUCUCCCAUCUUCACAGAUGAACUCUGGAGGUCUGUCAGAGU
ensembl:lncRNA